AAUUUGUUAGCCCUUUAUGCAUCGAAGAAAGAAGGAUAAGUGGGUUUUCUCUUAAAAAUAGAGGGAUAAGUGUUGACAUGCGUGGGAAAGAAGGAUAACUAGGUUCUUUAACCUAAUUGGGACGCGUGCACGCCAGAAAAAUCCACGACGGCAGAAGUGGAACCCCGGCCAUCCCAAAGAUCGAAGGCGGUCAUGGAGCGUGGUCUUCAUCUCAGCUUGGAGGAAGUGUAGCAGCGGAAGAGAUGGAUAUAUGUACACACAUAUGCCUCCUUCGAAUUCCAUUGAAGGAUCGAUUUCAAUCGGGUUUAAGGAGAUCCAGAUCCUAAUUUCCGUGGGAAUCAUGGGGGCAAUCCUUCCGCGGCGUCCGCGCUAUCACAUGGCCUGCAAAAAAUAGUGCACAAUCGGUGAGCUGACAUGGAUGGGAUCUGAGGACUGAGGUCGUCUGAAGCCUGAAGGUGUGUGUUCGUGCUUUGAGAAGAAGAAAGAGAUUACAGAUUUAGGAAUAUUAAUUCUCUGUUGCGACUGAGGCAGCAAGGGCUGAAUGUUCGCCAGAGGUCUAUAUUGUGGAAAAAGAGUUUGGAAAUGCCGUGGCGGCUAUAUACUGUGAACAGUGGUCCACCAUAAAAGAAGCAUCAUGAGGCAGUAGUCAUUGAUGAAGAAUGAUGUGCGCUCAAAUACAAGGACUUGUGAUGGUGUCCAAUGACCGAGAAUUAUGAGAAAAAAAUCUCUUAUUAGCUGUGCUUGAUUUUUUUUAGGGAUGAACAACUACAAUGGUUGUCUAGAGAGUUUUUUUUUUCACAAUUGCUGGAUGGCAUUUAACUUUAGAACUAUGUAUGAGGAUCAUGUUCAGUAUGUGGUUUGAAUU